GAUGAAGAACGCAGCGAAAUGCGAUACGUAAUGUGAAUUGCAGAAUUCAGUGAAUCAUCGAAUCUUUGAACGCAUAUUGCGCUCUUUGGUAUUCCGAAGAGCAUGCUUGUUUGAGUAUCAGUAAACACCUCAACCUCUUCUUGAUUUUUCAAAAGGAGGGUGGACUUGAGCUAUCCCAACAACCUUUACCGGUCGGCGGGCGGCUUGAAAUGCAGGUGCAGCUGGACUUUUAUCUGAGCUAAAAGCAUAUCUAUUUAGUCCUCGUCAAACAGGAUUAUUACUUUUGCUGCAGCUAACAUAAAGGAUAAUUGUCCUCUUUGCUGACUGAUGCAGGAUUUUACGACACUUUAUGUGUUGUUCAACUCGAUCUCAUAUCAAGUAAGACUACCCGCUGAACUUAAGCAUAUCAAUAAGCGGAGGA
rnacentral:misc_RNA from 1 species